AUACCUUUCUCGGCCUUUUGGCUAAGAUCAAGUGUAGUAUCUGUUCUUAUCAGUUUAAUAUCUGAUAUGUGAGGCCUCGUCCUCACUGAUAUUAAAUUUAUUUUUUCUGGGGAAGGGCCCACCAAGGCAGCUUGCUGCUUGGGUCCCGUGUCACCCUAGCGUUGCACUACUGCUAGGGCCUGGCGCGCCCCAA